UCAUCCUUGUGUUGUCUGUCCAUCUUUUGUGUCCAUUUGUCUGUCCAUCCUUGCCUUUUAGUCCAUCGGUCUCUUUCUGUUCAUUUGUCCCUCUUUGUGUCCAUUUGUCCUUUUUGUCUGUCUCUCCAUCUUUAUGUCCAUUUGUUCUUCAUCUGUCCCUUUGUCCUUGUCUGCCCAGUUCAUCUUUGUGUCUGUCUGCCUUUCCUUUUGUCUGUUUAUCCACCUUUGUGUCCGUUUGUACCUGCUUGUCCUUCUAUUUGUCCAUUUGUUUUUCUGUGUCCCUGUGUCUGCCUGUUCUUCCUUUUGUCUGUCCAUCUUUGUGUCCAUUUCUCCUUUUUGUCUCUGUCCUUUGUGUCUGUCUUCUUUUGUCCGUCUUUGUGUCUGUCUGUCCUUCCAUUUGUGGCUCUGUCCUUCCUUUUGCCCAUCUGUUUCUGCUUGUCCCUCCUUAUAUCCGUCUUCCCAUUCCAUUUGUCCUUCCUUCUGACCUUGUGUGUCCUUUUGUGCGUCUUUGUGUCAGUCUGUCCUCCUUUGUCCAUCUGUCCUUCCUUUUGUCCAUCUGUCCUUCUUUGUGUCAUUCUGCCCUACCCCUUGUCUGUCUUUGUGUCUGUUUGUUCUUCUGUCUGUUCAUCCUUGUGUCUGCCUGUCCUCCCUUUACCCAUCUCUUCAUCUUUGUGUGUCCUUCUCUGUGUCCAUUUGUCCUCUUUUCUUUGUCUGGCCUUCUUUUUGUCCAUCUGCCUUUUUGUCUGUACAUAUUUGUGUCUGUUUGUCCUUUUCUCGUCCAUUUGCUCUUCCUUCUCUCCAUUUGUUUGUCCUUUUGUCUGUCUGACCAUCUUGAUUCCGUUUGUCCUUUUUGUCUGUGUAGCCUUCUUUGUGUCACUUUGUCCUUCCUGUCAGUCUUUUCUUCCUUUUGUCUACAUCUGUCCUUUGUGUCUGUCUGUCCUUCCAUUUGUUUAUCUGCCCUUUUGUGUCUUUUUGUUCUUUUUGUCCGUCUGUACGUCUUGGUGUCAGGCUGUCCUGCCCCUUGUCCAUCUUUGUGUCCAUCUGUUCUUCUGCUUUUCCUUGUGUCUGCCUGUCCUUCCUUUUGUUGGUUCUUCCAUCUUUGUGUUUUCUCUUUACAUUUGUUUGUCUUUGUGUCCAUUUGUUCUUCCUUUUUGUCUUUGUGUCUGUCCUCCCUUCUGUCUGUGUAUCCUCCUUUGUGUCUGUUUUCCCCUUAUUCUGUCCAUCCUUUUGUCUUUCUGUCCAUAUUUUUGUCCGUCUAUCCUUUGUCUGUCUUUGUGUCCAUUUGUCUGUCCUUCUGUCCUUGUGUCUAUUUGUCCUUUUUUCUGUCAAUUUUCCUUUUGUCUUUGUGUUCGUUUGUACUUCUUUUUCUCCAUUUGUCCUUGCUUUUGUCCAUCGUCCUUCUUUGUCUGUCUGUGCUUCUUGUCUGUGUGUCUGUUUGUCCUUUUUAUCCAUCUGUCCUUCCUUUUGUCUGUGUGUCCUUCUUUGUAUCAGUUUGUCUUUCUUUUUUGUGUCUGUCCUUUUUCCCCUUUCUGUCAGUUUGUUCUUCCUUUUGUUGGUCUGUCCAUCUUUGUGUCCGUUUGUCCUUCCUCAUUUUUUUUGGUGUGUGUCCAUUUGUCCUUCCUCUUGUCCAUCUGUCCUUCAUGUCAUUCCUUUCGUCUGUGUGUCCAUUUAUCCUUCAGUUUAUCUUUGUGUCUGUCUGUCCUUCCUACUGUCUCUUUGUCAGUCUGCCUUUCCUUUUGCUCGUCUGUCUUUUCUCUGUCUUUGGAUCUGUCUGUCCAUCUUUGUCUUUUUUUCCAUCCAUCUUUCCUUUUGUCUUUCUAUCCAUUUAUCCUUCUUUGUGUUCGUCAUGUCUUUUUUUUCUGUCCAUCCUUCCUUUUGUUUCUUUCUGUCCAUUUUUUCUUCCAUGUCCAUCUGUCCUUCCUUCUGCCUGUGUGUCCAUCUGUCCUUUUGUGUCCAUUUGUCCUUUUUUGUCCUUCUGUUCAUCUUUGUGUCUGUUUGCUUGUGUGUCUGUCUUUGUGUCUGUCCUUCCUUUUGUUCAUCCUUUGUGCCUGUUUGUCCUUUUUUCUGUCCAUCUUUCCAUUUGUCCGUCUUUGUGUCUGUCCUUCCUUUUUACUGUGGCCAUCUGGCCUUUCUGUCUAUCUGUCCUUCCUCUUGUCUAUCCUUCUGUCCAUUUAUUCUUCCUUGUCUUGUCCUUCCUUGUCCAUUUGUCCUUCUGUUUGUUUUUGUGUUGUCUUUUCUUGUGUCUGUCCUUAUUUUGUCCUUGUCCUUCUUUGUGUCUGUCUGUCCUUUUUUUUGUCCAUAUGUCCAUCUUUGUAUCUGUUCUUUCUUUGUGUCCGUUUUUGGGUCUGUCAUUCCUUUUGUCCAUCUUUGGGUCUGUUUAUCCUUCUCUAUGUCCGUUUUCAUGUCUGUAGGUGUGUGUCUGGGUACUCAUCUCUAGAUGUGUCUGUAGAAAGGUCUAUAGGGGUGUGUGUGCAUGUAUCUGUGCCUGGUUGUGGGUGCUUUUCUCUGUGCAUCUGUGUGCAUCCAUGUCUCUGUGCAUGA
rnacentral:lncRNA from 14 species